GACGAACGCUGGCGGCGCGCCUAACACAUGCAAGUCGAACGGAGUCAAGAGGAGCUUGCUUUUCUUGACUUAGUGGCGAACGGGUGAGUAACGCGUGAGUAACCUGCCCUGGAGUGGGGGACAACAGUUGGAAACGACUGCUAAUACCGCAUAAGCCCACGGAUCUGCAUGGAUCUGCGGGAAAAGGAUUUAUUCGCUCUAGGAUGGACUCGCGUCCAAUUAGCUAGUUGGUGAGGUAACGGCCCACCAAGGCGACGAUGGGUAGCCGGGCUGAGAGGUUGAACGGCCACAUUGGGACUGAGACCCGGCCCCGACUCCUACGGGGAGCAGCAGUGGGGGAUAUUGCACAAUGGGGGAAACCCUGAUGCAGCGACGCCGCGUGGAGGAAGAAGGUUUUCGGAUUGUAAACUCCUGUCGUUAGGGACGAUAAUGACGGUACCUAACAAGAAAGCACCGGCUAACUACGUG
rnacentral:rRNA from 1 species